rnacentral:rRNA from 1 species
AACGAACGCUGGCGGCAUGCCUAACACAUGCAAGUCGAACGAGACCUUCGGGCUUAGUGGCGCACGGGUGCGUAACGCGUGGGAACCUGCCCUUAGGUCCGGAAUAACUCCCCGAAAGGGGUGCUAAUACCGGAUAAUGUCCUCGGACCAAAGGUUUAUCGCCUUUGGGUGGGCUCGCGUUGGAUUAGCUGGUUGGUAGGGUAAAUGCCUAUCAAGGCGUCGAUGCAUAGCUGGUCUGAGAGGAUGAUCUGCCACACUGGGCCUGAGACACGGGCCAGACUCCUAGGGGAGGGAGGAGUGGGGAAUAUUGGACAGUGGGGGAUAGCCUGAUCCAGCAAUGCCGGGUGAGUGAUGAAGGCCUUAGGGUUGUGAAGCUCUUUUACACGGGGUGAUAAUGACGGUACCGGGAGAAUAAGCUCCGGCUAACUCCGUG